UCCCUGAACCUCCCAUGGCAGCAGAGCGUGAGACUCUUAAUCUCAGGGUUGUGGGUUUGAACCCCACAUUGGGCGAA